rnacentral:tRNA from 2 species
AGGGUUCUAGUAAACAAAUUACAUAGCUCUGUCAGCGCUAAAUUACAGGUUAAUUAAACCUGUGAACCUUA